rnacentral:rRNA from 1 species
CACGUAGGGCGCAAGCGUUGUCCGGAAUUAUUGGGCGUAAAGAGCUCGUAGGCGGUCUGUUGCGUCCGCUGUGAAAACUCGGGGCUUAACCCCGAGCCUGCAGUGGAUACGGGCAGACUAGAGGUAGGUAGGGGAGAAUGGAAUUCCCGGUGUAGCGGUGAAAUGCGCAGAUAUCAGGAGGAACACCGGUGGCGAAGGCGGGUCUCUGGGCCAUAACUGACGCUGAGGAGCGAAAGCGUGGGGAGCGAACAGG